GCGGAGGAAAAGAAACCAACAGGGAUUGCCCUAGUAACGGCGAGUGAAGCGGCAACAGCUCAAAUUUGAAAUCUGGCCCUUUCAGGGUCCGAGUUGUAAUUUGUAGAGGGCGCUUUGGUGUUGGCUGCGGUCUAAGUUCCUUGGAACAGGACGUCACAGAGGGUGAGAAUCCCGUACGUGGUCGACAGUCUUCACCGUGUAAAGCCCCUUCGACGAGUCGAGUUGUUUGGGAAUGCAGCUCUAAAUGGGAGGUAAAUUUCUUCUAAAGCUAAAUAUUGGCCAGAGACCGAUAGCGCACAAGUAGAGUGAUCGAAAGAUGAAAAGCACUUUGGAAAGAGAGUCAAAAAGCACGUGAAAUUGUUGAAAGGGAAGCGCUUGCAAUCAGACUUGCCUGUAGUUGCUCAUCUGGACUCUUGUCCGGUGCACUCUUCUGCGGGCAGGCCAGCAUCAGUUCAGGCGGCUGGAUAAAGGCCUCUAUCACGUAUCUUCCUUCGGGAUGACCUUAUAGGGGAGGUGUAAUGCAGCCAGCCUGGAUUGAGGUCCGCGCAUCUGCUAGGAUGCUGGCGUAAUGAUUGUAAGCGGCCCGUCUUGAAACACGGACCAAGGAGUCUAACAUCUAUGCGAGUGUUUGGGUGUCAAGCCCGGACGCGCAAUGAAAGUGAACGGAGGUGGGAACCCUCACGGGUGCACCAUCGACCGAUCCUGAUGUCUUCGGAUGGAUUUGAGUAAGAGCAUAGCUGUUGGGACCCGAAAGAUGGUGAACUAUGCCUGAAUAGGGUGAAGCCAGAGGAAACUCUGGUGGAGGCUCGCAGCGGUUCUGACGUGCAAAUCGAUCGUCAAAUUUGGGCAUAGGGGCGAAAGACUAAUCGAACUAUCUAGUAGCUGGUUCCUGC
rnacentral:sRNA from 1 species